GUCGAACGGUAACAGCACUUCGGUGGCUGACGAGUGGCGGACGGGUGAGUAAUACAUCGGAACGUGCCCGAUCGUGGGGGAUAACUACUCGAAAGAGUGGCUAAUACCGCAUACGAUCUACGGAUGAAAGCGGGGGAUCGCAAGACCUCGCGCGGACGGAGCGGCCGAUGGCAGAUUAGGUAGUUGGUGGGAUAAAAGCUUACCAAGCCGACGAUCUGUAGCUGGUCUGAGAGGACGACCAGCCACACUGGGACUGAGACACGGCCCAGACUCCUACGGGAGGCAGCAGUGGGGAAUUUUGGACAAUGGGGGAAACCCUGAUCCAGCCAUGCCGCGUGCAGGAUGAAGGCCUUCGGGUUGUAAACUGCUUUUGUACGGAACGAAAAGACUCUUUCUAAUACAGAGGGUCCAUGACGGUACCGUAAGAAUAAGCACCGGCUAACUACGUGCCA
rnacentral:rRNA from 1 species